AUUGAACGCUGGCGGCAGGCCUAAAACAUGCAAGUCGAGCGAGCGGCGGACGGGUGAGUAAUGUCUGUGACACUGCCUGAUGGAGGGGAAUAACUACUGGAAACGGUAGCUAAUACCGCAUACCAUCAGAUGUGCCCAGAUGGGAUUAGCUAGUAGGUGGGGUAAAGGCUCAACUAGGCGACGAUCCCUAGCUGGUCUGAGAGGAUGACCAGCCACACUGGAACGGAGAACCGGUCCAGACGCCUACGGGAGGCAGCAGUGGGGAAGAUUGCACAAUGGGCGCAAGCCUGAUGCAGCCAUGCCGCGGGUAUGAAGAAGGCCUUCGGGUUGUAAAGUACUUUCAGCGGGGAGGCGUUACCCGCAGAAGAAGCACCGGCUAACUCCGUGCCAGCAGCCGCGGUAAUAC
rnacentral:rRNA from 1 species